GACGAACGCUGGCGGCGUGCCUAAUACAUGCAAGUCGAACGCAGUGGGGACGGGUGAGUAACACGUGGGUAACCUCCCAUCAGAGGGGAUAACACUUGGCAACAGGUGCUAAACCGAUACUGAUGGAUGAACCCGCGGUGCAUUAGCUAGUUGGUGAGGUAACGGCUCACCAAGGCCACGAUGCAUAGCCGACCUGAGAGGGUGAUCGGCCACACUGGGACUGAGACACGGCCCAGACUCCUACGGGAGGCAGCAGGGGGGAAUAUUCGACAAUGGACGAAAGUCUGACGGAGCAACGCCGCGUGAGUGAAGAAGGAUUUCGGAUCGUAGAGCACUGUAAGUAGAGAGGCGGUAUCCGACGAGAAAGCCACGGCUAACUACGUGCCAGCAGCCGCGGUAAUAC
rnacentral:rRNA from 1 species